AGUCAUAAACCAUGUCAAUCCCUACUGAACAACCAGAAGAAAUUUCUCUCCAUGAAACAGACAUCGGUGCCUUGGAUAAAAAUACAGGUCGUCGGGCGGAUUUUGCAUCGAAAAAGACAUCGACAUCCCGUACCGGAGGAUGGAAAAUUGCAACAAUCGUUCUGAGUGUUCUGUUUUUUCUGCUCCUUGGCGGGCUCAUUGCAAUCAUAGUUAUUUUCGUCAUCGGCCGUGCCGGCAAAGCUGACAAUGGUGGAUCCACGGACGUCCCCACCGACGCUACUGAUACCGAGACCGUGCCUGGUACGCCGGCAGUUACAUCAUCACUGCCGUCAACAACACCGUUGCCAUCACACCCAUCUACCCUACCUC